UGCGAACCCUUGAUUCUCACUGUCUGCUCCAAAGCAGCUGCAGCAGAAGCGAGGCCUGGGAAGGGUUAACCCGGCACCCCCCACCCACAUACCCACCCACCUCUCGCCCCCUUUUGGAGGGAGCCGCGGAACCAACCUAGCUCCGGUUUGAAAAGGCACCCGCAAACUGCCUGUGCGCCCAGGGCGCACAGAGGCAGCGCCGGCCGCUGAACUUUGGGCACAGAUUCUCGGCAGCCUCCCGUUUAGAAACCGAGAGCCCACCGGGGGGGUCUUUCUCCUGUCUCUGGCCUCCCCCCCAAAUCCCUUUUGGUACCUCCUCGGUCUGAAAUGCGUCUGUGAGCAGCUGGUUUUGGGAGACCCCCCUCAGCGCCGCUUGCGCGUCUGGCUUGCCACUUCCCCAAGUGCCUCUCCAAAGGCGAACGGUCCCAAGAUGUACCUGACUCUCUUCCUCUCUUGGUGCUGCUGCUGCGGCUGCUUUUGGGGAUGCUCCUUCGGGACGGGAUUUCUUUACCAGUUCCCCGCCUCGACCCUGCAACACAACUACCCCGAGCAGAGCUCCGGAGGACCCGCGGGCAACGGCUUUACGAAUCGGCGGCACUGGUGUCACUACACAGUCACCCGGACAGUUUCCUGCCAGGUGCAGAACGGCUCGGAGACGGUGAUCCAGAGGGUUUAUCAAAGCUGCCGGUGGCCGGGACCGUGCGCCAACUUAGUGAGUUACAGGACCCUCAUCAGACCUACAUAUAAGAUCUCCUACAGAACGGUGACUGCCCUCGAAUGGCGCUGCUGUCCUGGCUUCACUGGAAGCAGCUGCGAAGAAGAAUGUAUGAAUUGCACGAGACUCACGGAUAUGGCUGACAGGCUGAGCACACUUGAAACAAAGAUCCUCUUGCUUGAGGCUGCUGAGCGCGCGCCGCCUUCUGAGAACGACCUGCCAUUGGCGAGGACCACGGCCACCUGGUAUGAUGAACUGCUGCCAGACGCCAUUCCACUCACCAACCCAGGGACCGUCCUCAGGAAGCCGAUGGGAGCUGUAGGGUUACCGGGACCAGCUGGGAAGCCGGGAGCUCAAGGCCCGAAAGGCGAAAAGGGAGAAAUCGGAGACAGGGGACCGGCUGGACCACCCGGGCUUCUUGGACCUCCAGGACCCAGGGGCUAUCCAGGUGAAACAGGAAUCGCAGGUCCACCUGGACCGCCCGGACCCCCAGGAUCGCCAAGCUUCCCCUUAACAUUUCAGCAAGGGGUUCUGUACUCCCUCCAGCCCACAGCUGAAAAAGAGAACGGAGAAGCUCAGCUGGCAUCCACCGUCAUUGAUACUGUCCUGGCUGGUUUACCUGGACCACGGGGUGCUCCUGGCCCUAUUGGACCACCAGGCUCCCCAGGAUCAUCGGGACCCAAGGGGGAACCUGGAUCCGUGGGUGCCCCCGGGCUGCCGGGCAUACCAGGCUCAGCAGGACAGCCUGGAUCAAAAGGUUCCAAAGGAGACCGAGGAGAACGAGGGCAAGCAGGGCUGACUUUCAGAAAGAGGAACAAGGAAGCUCUUCCCUGGUGACCCUGGCAAGAAAGGUGAAGAAGGAGAGAAAGGUGCUGAGGGUGAAGGAGUCCAGCAGCUUCGAGAAGCCCUGAAGAUUUUAGCUGAGAGGGUGUUAAUUUUAGAGCACAUGAUAGGAAUUCAUGGUUUUCCUUUGUUUUCAGAUCCUUUAUCUUCCGUUGAACCAGGCUCAGGACAUGAUGUGAUCCUGGGUGCCCCGCUGCGAGCCAACGCGAAAAUCAAGCGACACCACGCAAACCGGAUCCUCUCUUCGCUGCUGGAUGAUAACGAGACCAAAGGAAGGAGCAACAGAAGUAAAUAGGACAUCAGUCCAACAGCGAAGGAUGAAGAAAUUCCAGAGACCGGGGCACCAUUUGACUCCUGUCGGAAGUCCCUGCAGGUCAGGAUGGAACGCAUGUCGGAAUAGGAUACAUUCCUUGAACUCUCCGUGAGCUUUCAAGUGCAUACCUGACACUUGGUACAAGUCAUAUUUCUGUCCUUGUGUACAUGUCCACCUCAGGUGAUAACAUUCAUGCCCAGAAACCGUACGAUGGCCACCAGUAUCUCAAAGGGUAUCCUGGUGUCUCUUAAAUCAGUGGUUUUUUAAACUUCUGCCCCUCACAGAACUUUUCCCCGCUUGCUGAGAAACUGCCGUGGUGUGCUUUUUGCUGUGUUUCCUGUGGUACCUGGAUGUGUUCUAGAAGAUUCCAGGGAAUGUGCUAGGCUGUGUGAUCCAUUCACACAGAGCAUGGGACAGGUCCAUAGAGGCUCAUCACAGCUGUCUUGGAACACACCCAACUCUCCCCUAUGAGUGCAGAGAGAAAAACAUUGCAGAAAAAAAAUACAUUGUGAUAGGUCAGCUUUCUGUCAGAGAAGCUUGGCCUUCCACUGACCCUUUUCUUGAAUGAGCCCUGAUAAAAUUCUGAGGAACAUCAGGAUUUCUACAAACACUGUUGGAAAACUGAUUUUAAAUUAAUUCUCUUCUCCACCCAUCAACCAAUAUUUAGUGGUCUAAUCGCUGCUUUGGCUGCCUUUUUGUGGCGAAAAAGAAAUGAGGGAUGCUUUUUGAAUUUGAUCCAUUCGAGUAUCACUGCUCCAAUGUUGCUUUCCCCUUGAGUACCUCAAACUAGCCACCCUGUUUUCAGCCCAAUUUUUUCCUCCUUCUUUCAUGCCCUGUCUCCACCAUAAAAUGUGCAUUGUGCACCAUUGUUCGGGCAUCAGUGUAUCACCAUGCUGCAGAUGAAUGACAUGCAUACGUGAACAUGGUGUAAAUGGUAUUAACGUAUGCAGGAGAAACAAAUGAAUCAUCGUUGUGAGCACCGAAAAUAAGUGGACUGUUGUUGUUCGCAAUGACAGUGUGUGGAAACAAAAAGCAUCAGAGAAGGUCAAGUUCAUCUAUCGGUAGUAUGAAUCCUUUAACUAAAUAGUUAAACCAGUAUCCAAUCUGCCAGAUAACCAGCAUUAGUGCCUCUGAAAUAUCAGUAAAAUCCUCAUUCCUCUAGUCUCCACCUUAGCUG